rnacentral:rRNA from 1 species
UACGUAGGGUGCGAGCGUUGUCCGGAAUCAUUGGGCGUAAAGCGCGUGUAGGCGGCUCGAUAAGUCCGCUCUGAAAGUCCAGGGCUCAACCCUGGGAUGCGGGUGGAUACUGUCGGGCUCGAGUCCGGAAGAGGCGAGUGGAAUUCCUGGUGUAGCGGUGAAAUGCGCAGAUAUCAGGAGGAACACCAAUGGCGAAGGCAGCUCGCUGGGACGUGACUGACGCUGAGACGCGAAAGCGUGGGGAGCAAACAGG